CCUACGGGUGGCAGCAGUAGGGAAUCUUCCACAAUGGGCGAAAGCCUGAUGGAGCAACGCCGCGUGGGUGAAGAAGGUCUUCGGAACGUAAAACCCUGGUGUUAGAGAAGAAAGUGCGUGAGAGUAACUGUUCACGUCUCGACGGUAUCUAACCAGAAAGCCACGCCUAACUACGUGCCAGCAGCCGCGGUAAUACGUAGGUAGCAAGCUUUACCCGGAUUUAUUGGGCGUAAAGGUAACGCAGGCCGUCUUUUAAGUCUGAUGUGAAAGCCUUCGUCUUAACCGGAGUAGUGCAUUGGAAACUGGGAGACUUGAGUGCAGAAGAGGCGAGUGGAACUCCAUUUGUAGCGGUGAAAUGCGUAGAUAUAUGGAAGAACACCAGUGGCGAACGCGGCUCUCUGGUCUGUAACUGACGCUGAGGUUCGAAAGCGUGGGUAGCAAACAGGAUUAGAUACCCGUGUAGUC
rnacentral:rRNA from 1 species